rnacentral:lncRNA from 1 species
UGCGAGUGCUGGAGCCACAAGGAAGACGAAAACUAUGAAGAGUGUGUGGCGUAAGGGAGAUGCUGUCUCUGCUGUGCAAAAAGUUGUUAAGGAAUCACCUAAAAUUGAUAAUAGAGGAAUGCAGGUCGAACCUAGAACAAAAGAAGAGGAAGAGGCCAAUGCCAAAGCAGGCGCUCAAUUGGCACCACCUCAGCCACCUUUUAGACCUCAACCUCCUGUAAGACCCCAGCCAAUGUUACAAGGGAAGCCUAUGGUAGCUCAACCACCCGUCAAGAAAUCACCCAUCUUAAAAGAUCUUGGUAUGGCACCAAAACCUCCAGUUUCUCAAGAAGUUGAUUCUAGCAUUAAAAGUAAAGAAAGGAAGCCUAUUUUGGUUGACAAAUUUGCUUCCAAGAAAAAGGCUGUUGAUGCUGUGGCCUCUCAGGCUGUGUUAGCUCCUACGAAGCCUGGAAAGGGUCCUCCCUCUAACAAGUUCAGGGUUGAGCACCGUAAUAAAAAAAAUGCAUCAGCUAGCCCAAGACGAAGAAUUGUUGCUGAAGAUGACGGAGAUGAAGAUACAUCCAUUUCUAGAUCAGGUAGAAAAGGGAGAAAAUGGAGUAAAGCGAGUAGGAAGGCUGUAAGACUCCAGGCUGCAAAAGACGCUGCACCUGUCAAAG